rnacentral:lncRNA from 1 species
AUGUGUGUCGAGAGCAAACACACACACACACACACACACAGAAUGACCCACGAGAAAGGGAAAGGGGAAAACACCAAUCCUGCGCUGGGCUUUUUCGACUUUUCCUUUAAAAAGAAAAAAGUUUUUCAAGCUGUAGGUUCCAAGAACCGGCAGGAGGGGGGCGAGGCGGGGUGGGGGGGUGUACAGAAAAGGCGCCUGGUCGGUUAUGAGUCACAAGUGGGUUAUAAAAGGGUCGCACGUUCGCAGGCGCGGGCUUCCUGUGCGCGGCUGAGCCGGGGCGCAGCGCGACGGUCCCAUCGGGCGGCCUCCACCCUCGGGACGCGAGCGGAGCGCCGAGCCCAGCGGCGAUCACGCGACGCGGGGAAGGAAGGAAGUGUGACUACCACUUCACUUUCAUAUAUCUCCUAAGACACAGCUGGACUCAGUGAAUUCAUUUCCUCUAUCGCCAGAGAGAGUCAGAAUCUCUCCUUUCAAAGAUAACUAGCCAAAUGAACAUAAUAAACAAGUCCAAGCAGUUGGAGGGGCGGCCGCCACCCCACCAUCUCCAAAUAACUGAUUCGCAUUUCCGAGACGGUUCACCUGAAGCCUUGCCUGCCACCUUGGUUCUCCCACCUGAAGGAGAUGGUUCUAACG